rfam:Stegodyphus mimosarum contig24790, whole genome shotgun sequence.
GCCUUUCUGGUGUAAUGGUCAACACACUCGGCGCGUAUUCGAGAAGUCCCAGGUUCGAUUCCUGGCAAGGGCA